rnacentral:tRNA from 1 species
GGGUGGGUUGGCUAAGUGGUUAGAGCGUAGGUCUUGUAACCGAAAGGUUGCGGGAUCGAAUCCCGCUAGAGCUG